UACGGAGGGUGCAAGCGUUAUCCGGAUUCACUGGGUUUAAAGGGAGCGUAGGGGGGUUGGUAAGUCAGUGGUGAAAUCCCCGAGCUUAACUUGGGAACUGCCAUUGAUACUAUCAGUCUUGAAUACUGUGGAGGUUAGCGGAAUAUGUCAUGUAGCGGUGAAAUGCUUAGAUAUGACAUAGAACACCAAUUGCGAAGGCAGCUGGCUACACAAAUAUUGACACUGAGGCUCGAAAGCGUGGGGAUCAAACAGG
rnacentral:rRNA from 1 species